rnacentral:rRNA from 1 species
UACGUAGGGCGCAAGCGUUAUCCGGAAUUAUUGGGCGUAAAGAGCUCGUAGGCGGUUUGUCGCGUCUGCUGUGAAAGACCGGGGCUCAACUCCGGUUCUGCAGUGGGUACGGGCAGACUAGAGUGCAGUAGGGGAGACUGGAAUUCCUGGUGUAGCGGUGAAAUGCGCAGAUAUCAGGAGGAACACCAAUGGCGAAGGCAGAUCUCUGGGCCGUAACUGACGCUGAGGAGCGAAAGCAUGGGGAGCGAACAGG